AUAAUUUUCAGUGAAAAAGAAGAAACAUGAAAGAAAAUUGUGAAAAGCUGUUCUUGCCAAAUCUGUUCCAGAUAGAAGAUGACCGGAGAAGGCCUGCGGUUUACAGCUUCUUCAUCCACACCAAAAGGGCAGGCAAUUUCUCAGCUCAUGCGUCACCUCAGUGAAAAAUGAACGGCUUGGAAUUGGGGAAGAGUCUUUUUCUCUUUGGCUUCUAGCUCCGUCUUGUAUUUGCUUGCCUUUUACUUCAAAAUGGAAAAACAGAUACUUUAUUAUCAGCUUCGUAAUUGUAGUUAAAUUCACGUGGCUAAGAUGGGUUUCGUCGCCACAUUCAAUGUGGGGAUUCAUUACCUCAUAAUUUUUUAAUAUCCUCCGUCCACUGGGAUCUCGAAAGUAUCUUCUUGAGUGAAAUCUCUCUCUCUCGCUCUCUCGUCUCGUGCUCAAUCGACUGUCUAGAAUUGGGGAUGCUUGCAGUGUUUCUUCGCUCCUUCGAGGAUUAAUAAUGGGUUCUCUUCGCGCUCCCCCGCAUUGCUCUUUAACUUCUUCGCAUAUUCAGUUGUCUAACAGAUUCCUACUCCCACGUCCUCUAAAUUGCCACCCCCAUCACCGGUUGCAAUGCUGUAAAAACCCUCUACGCUUGAUCAUUUUUUCUCCACCUGGGGUUUUCCCUUCUUUUUGUAAUCAGAACUGUCCAUGGAAGCGCGGUUCUCAGAUCGUCUGUGGGGUUUCCUCUGCUUCUCAACAAGCUGUCAGGGAAGGUGAAGAGCUUAAGAGGACCGGGAAAUCGGGGAGUGGCGGGAAGGUCCUUCUGAAGGUGAGGUUAGACCACCAAGUUGAAUUUGGGGAGUCUGUGGUAAUUAUAGGGUCGUGUAAAGAGUUGGGAUCAUGGAAGAAUCAGACUCUUCUGAAUUGGAGUGAGGAUGGGUGGAAUUGCGAUUUAGAGCUCAAAGGGGACGAGCUAGUGGAGUUCAAGUUCGUCACUGUGAGGAAGGAUGGGAGUUUGCUGUGGGAAUCUGGAGAUAACCGGGUUCUCCAGCUGCCUAAGGUAGGGAGAUUUAGUUCAGUUUAUCAGUGGAACAAAACUGGGGAGGCUGUGGAAAUGUUGCCUUUGGAUGCAAAGGAGAUUAAUGAAGGAGAUGAAAUAUUGCUUUUGGAGGUAGUGGAGGAUAAUAAAGGAGAUGAAAACGACCAGGAGGUUGAAGCUGGCAAUGGGUCUUUUGCUGAAGUUGGGGCCAGUCCUUUUGUUGGGCAAUGGAAAGGGAAGGCUAUCUCAUUUAUGAGGUCUAACGAACAUCACAGCCGAGAAUCUGAGAGGAGUUGGCACACUUCUGGUCUUGAGGGGUUGGCUCUACAGUUGGUAGAGGGAGAUAAAAAUGCUAGGAAUUGGUGGAGAAAGCUUGAUGUUGUGCGGGAAUUAUUAGUUGGAAGUUUGCAUCCUGAGGAGCGCCUGGAGUCAUUAAUAUAUUCUGCUAUCUACCUGAAGUGGAUAAAUACAGGUCAAAUCCCUUGUUUUGAAGAUGGAGGUCAUCACAGGCCAAAUAGGCAUGCUGAAAUUUCUAGGAUUAUAUUUCGUGAAUUAGAACGAUUGUCCUCCAAGAAAGAUAUUUCACCCCAGGAAAUCCUCAUUGUCCGGAAGAUUCAUCCAUGCUUGCCAUCUUUUAAAUCAGAAUUUACUGCACCUGUUCCUUUAACACGUAUUAGAGAUAUUGCUCAUCGGAAUGAUAUCCCUCAUGACCUCAAGCAAGAAAUUAAACAUACAAUACAGAACAAGCUUCAUCGCAAUGCUGGUCCAGAGGACUUAAUUGCCACCGAAUCAAUGCUUACAAGGAUAACCAAAAAUCCUGGAGAAUAUAGUCAAGCCUUUGUAGAGCAGUUCAAAAUAUUCUACCGAGAAUUAAAAGAUUUCUUCAAUGCUGGAAGCCUUGCCGAACAACUUGAAUCAAUCAAGGAGGCUGUUGAUGAAAAUGGCUUGUCAACUCUUUCCUACUUUUUGGAGUGCAAAAAGAAUCUGGAUGCUGCAGACGAGUUGGGAAGUUCUUUCCAAAAGCAAGGCACUGAUCUGGUUUUCAAAACUAUUCAAUCCUUGAAUGCUUUGAGAGAAAUACUUGUAAGAGGCCUUGAAAGUGGAUUAAGAAAUGAUGCUUCUGAUACUGCAAUAGCCAUGCGACAAAAGUGGCGUCUUUGUGAGAUUGGGCUCGAGGACUACUUAUUUGUUCUUCUUAGCAGAUUCUUAAAUGUGCUUGAGGCAACAAGGGGUGCUGAUUGGCUGGCAGACAAUGUGAAGUCAAAGAAUGUAAGUUCUUGGAAUGAUCCACUGGAUGCCCUUAUUUUUGGCACUCAUCAGCUGGGUUUAUCUGGAUGGAAGCCAGAGGAGUGUGUGGCUAUUGAAAAUGAGAUUUGUGCUUGGAAGGAGAGAGGUCUCGCUGAAAGGGAAGGAAGUGAAGAUGGCCAAAAAAUUUGGGCAUUGAGGCUUAAGGGUACUCUUGAUAGAGCAAGGAGGCUGACUGAAGAAUAUUCUGAAGCACUUCUUCAAAUAUUCCCUGAGAAAGUUCAGGUGCUUGGAAAAGCAUUUGGGAUCCCUGAGAACAGUGUGAGAACAUAUGCUGAAGCUGAAAUUCGUGCUAGUGUUAUUUUUCAGGUAUCGAAGCUUUGCACUAUUCUUUUGAAAGCAGUCAGAAGUACACUUGGGUCCCAGGGUUGGGAUGUUCUUGUGCCAGGAUCUGUUGUAGGAACAUUUGUUCAGGUUGAGAGGAUUGUCCCAGGGUCUCUUCCCACAUCCGUAGAAGGACCUGUUGUUCUUAUGGUUAACAAAGCUGAUGGCGAUGAAGAGAUAACAGCUGCUGGGAGUAACAUAGCGGGAGUUGUGCUGCUGCAGGAAUUACCUCAUUUAUCUCAUCUUGGUGUAAGGGCUCGACAAGAAAAAGUUGUAUUUGUGACAUGUGAAGAUGAUGAGAGAAUUUAUUCUCUGCAGAAACUUCUCGGGAAACAUGUGAGGAUGGAAGCGUCUGCAACUGCCGUUCAGAUAUGUCCUCCAUCUGAUAUUAGCACUGAUAAUUUUCCUGUCAGAACUGAUGCAGACGAAUAUGUGUUUACUUUUGAAAAGUAUAGUAUUCAAGAUCCCCUAUUGCCUGCCUCUAGAGCUCCCUUCUCAAAACAGGGAAUUUCUUCUGGAGUGGUACCGCUCGCUGAUGCAGAUGCUCAAAUUGCAGGUGCGAAAGCUGCAGCUUGUGGUCGUUUGGCUUCUUUGGCUGCGAUAUCUGAUAAAGAUUUUAGCAAUCUACAGAUUCCUGCUGCUUUUCGGGUACCUGCAGGUGCAGUGAUUCCGUUUGGUUCUAUGGAGUCGGCUUUAGCUCAAAGUAAUUCCAUGGAAACAUUCAAAUCUAUUUUGGAACAAAUAGAAACAGCAAAAGUAGGAGUGGAACUGGAUGAACUCUGCAAUCAACUCCAGGAGUUGGUGUCCUCUCUGCAAUUGACACAAGACUUAAUUGAUGAUGUUGGGAGAAUAUUUCCUGAAGACUCACGUUUAAUUGUCCGUUCAAGUGCAAACGUCGAGGAUUUGGCUGGCAUGUCAGCUGCAGGACUUUACGAGUCAAUUCCAAAUGUGAGUUUAAAAAAUCCAAUUGUUUUUGGUGGUGCCAUUGGCAAAGUAUGGGCGUCAUUGUACACUCGAAGAGCAGUUCUCAGCCGACGAGCAGCUGGGGUACCUCAGAAGGAUGCUUUAAUGGCAGUCCUGGUGCAAGAAAUGCUUUCACCCGACUUAUCAUUUGUCCUACACACGUACAGUCCGACUGAUCAAAAUGUCAAGUCUGUUGAGGCUGAGAUUGCCUGCGGACUAGGUGAAACUCUGGCUUCUGGCACCCGUGGCACACCCUGGCGUCUUUCAUCCGGGAAGUUCGAUGGUCUAGUUCAAACACUGGCCUUUGCAAACUUCAGUGAAGAACUAAGAGUUCUUGCUGCUGGUCCUGCCGAUGGCGAAGUGGCACGUCUGACUGUAGAUUACAGCAAAAAAUCAUUGUCUACCGACCCGAAAUUUCGUGAGCAGAUUGGUCAACGUCUUUGUGCUGUUGGCUUCUUCUUAGAACGCAAGUUUGGCUGCCCACAGGAUGUCGAAGGCUGUGUCAUUGGUGACGAUAUUUAUAUAGUCCAGACACGCCCGCAACCAUUAUAGAACCUUCUGUGGUUCUAAUGGUCUGCUUGGAGCCAGAGACAUGAGAUAAAUCAGUCUGCUGUUACUAUCUCAAGACAGAAAUCCGAAAAGAAAAUGUCAUUCUUUUGAAGUCUGGCUAUACUAUCUCAAGACAGAACAUCCGAAAAGAAAAUGUCAUUCUUUUGAGGUCUGGCUAUAAAGUGGAGGUACCUUGCAUGAGAUGGAUAUCUGAACUCUAAAUAUACUAGUUGAGGCCAAGUAAGCUCUCUUACAUAUCCAACAUCUAAUUUGCCAUUACUAUUUUGGAAAUCCUUCACUUGUAAAACCUCCCAUUUCUUAUGUAAGGGUAUUUUGGUUUAUCCACUUUCUGUAGUAUGUUGUAAAUGUUUUAGAAAUUUAUGAGAUAUGAUCUGCGAUCUUUUUAUAUGGGUCAAACUCAUAAGCAUAACUAAAAUCAUCCUCGAACUUAGCCAAUGACACUUAGGUUUUUAGUGCAAUUGUGCCACUUAGAUCAAGGUAAGCAUAAGUCCUUGAACCUUCAACAUUAUGUUUGUCAUCCAUGCACUUAAGACAUUUUGAAAUAUUAUUCAUGCUCAAAGAGUUGUGAGGAA